UUCAACGGAGAGUUUGAUCCUGGCUCAGGACGAACGCUGGCGGCGUGCUUAACACAUGCAAGUCGAGCGGUAAGGCCUUUCGGGGUACACGAGCGGCGAACGGGUGAGUAACACGUGGGUGAUCUGCCCUGCACUUCGGGAUAAGCCUGGGAAACUGGGUCUAAUACCGGAUAUGACCUCCUAUCGCAUGGUGGGUGGUGGAAAGAUUUAUCGGUGCAGGAUGGGCCCGCGGCCUAUCAGCUUGUUGGUGGGGUAAUGGCCUACCAAGGCGACGACGGGUAGCCGACCUGAGAGGGUGACCGGCCACACUGGGACUGAGACACGGCCCAGACUC
rnacentral:rRNA from 1 species